rnacentral:rRNA from 1 species
CCUACGGGAGGCAGCAGUGGGGAAUAUUGGACAAUGGGGGCAACCCUGAUCCAGCCAUGCCGCGUGUGUGAAGAAGGCCCUCGGGUUGUAAAGCACUUUCAGUGAGGAAGAACGCCUGGUGGUUAAUACCCAUCAGGAAAGACAUCACUCACAGAAGAAGCGCCGGCUAACUCCGUGCCAGCAGCCGCGGUAAUACGGAGGGUGCGAGCGUUAAUCGGAAUUACUGGGCGUAAAGCGCGCGUAGGUGGCUUGAUAAGCCGGUUGUGAAAGCCCCGGGCUCAACCUGGGAACGGCAUCCGGAACUGUCAAGCUAGAGUGCAGGAGAGGAAGGUAGAAUUCCCGGUGUAGCGGUGAAAUGCGUAGAGAUCGGGAGGAAUACCAGUGGCGAAGGCGGCCUUCUGGACUGACACUGACACUGAGGUGCGAAAGCGUGGGUAGCAAACAGGAUUAGAUACCCCAGUAGUC